CAAAAAAUAUAGGAUAUAACUUAAAUGAAUAAUGCUUAAAAAAACACACACAGACACAGGGGCCAUUUCAUUUUCUGUGAAAAAAAAAUUCAAAUAAAAAUCGGUGUCUACACCUUGUAGCUCUUUGGAAGUAGUUACACAAGAAGAACGGAAUGACACCAAUCACACUUCAAAUGGACUGAUCUGUUACCAGUAAAAACAUGGGAAAGACUUGUUCCCUUAUGCCACUAGAUGCCAUCAUCAUCAAGAGGAAUAUAGAAAAUUAUAUAUUUUCCUAACUGGUAUUUGAUACAUUGGUUUGGUCUUUUCAUUGAGUUUCCAAAGACAUUUAUGUUGGAGGUGCCAAGUUUGAAUCAUCUACUAAAACCAUGAUUUUAUAAGGGUAAGACUCAUAAAUAACUUUCACAUGGUUUCACUUAUUACCAAAUAAUCCUCCAUAGAGUGAAAAUGGCAACAUAAACCUUCUUAUGGUCUCAUGGAAAGUGGAAAUCGACAAAAAAUUGUCUCCAGUGACCGUGACUUUUCUGUAAACAAUCGAAUGAACAAAAUUUAAGCAAGUACCUAACAACAAACUAUACAACAAAUGAAAGUAGAAGUAUCAAGUUUACUCGGUUUAACAUAUGGAAGUCCCAGAUUGAAAUUAUGAUAUUAAUACAAGAAGUUACCUUCAUGUCAUGAAAGAGUACUGUGUUAAAGUUUGCCAAAAUGCUGCAGAAUUGGCUUGAUGGUAUCAGGAAUAGUUUUCUCUCCAAUCCCAAUAUCUUCUAGGCAUUGUUUUCAUUUUUGUCCUUGAGAAAACGUGAUUUGUUUCUUUUCUGUCUUAUUUUCUUUUUUUUAUUGAUAUUUAAAAAAAAAGGGCUUGGAAAGAAAGAAGCAAAAAGAGGAAAGAGAACAAAAAUAACAAGAAUAAAACCUUCAUUAUAAGAAGAGAAAAACAAAAACUCUCUCUUACUUAUAACAAUGGUCAAGUGACAGGACUCUCUAUCCCAUAAGACAACACCAUAAAGAUUGUACAUAUGGAAUGCGAUCAAAUUAGCAUUAAUGCAUCUGAUCCCAUCAGAAUCCUGAAGAUUUUGUACAUAUAUGUCAUAUAGAAAUAGAGAGACAGAAGUCAUAUUAGUUAUCUCCAAAUAGAGAUAAAGGUCUCCUUGCCGCUCUUGUGAAAUAUGCUGAAGUGCUUGUAUUUGCCGAGUUCGUAGAAGUAAGGGAGGCAGAUAAUGCACUCAUGCGGACAUUAGCAUGAGAAUCAUUCAUGCUAGCUUCUUUCUCAUCUUCUUUUAUCGUAUCCAACAUCUUUGUGGCUCGUUGCCUCAUAACUUGAACGAAUUGUGGAGGUGCUGCCUCUGUUACAAAUCUAGCAAUUCUGAAAUUUGCCAUAUUUUCUUGCUUUUCUCUUGGAAGUAAUACUAUGAAGUAAAGUAGGAGGGAUUACAAGAUUGUCUGGACUUAGGGUGGAGAUAAGGUAUAGUUGGUGGAUAACC
rnacentral:lncRNA from 1 species